GAAAUGCGAUAAGUGAUGUGAAUUGCAGAAUUCCGUGAAUCAUCGAAUCUUUGAACGCACAUUGCGCCCUCUGGUAUUCCGGGGGGCAUGCCUGUCCGAGCGUCAUUGCGAACCCCUCAAGCACGGCUUGUGUGAUGGGCCCUCCCGCGUCUUGGUCGUCAAGACGGGCCCGAAAUGCAGUGGCGGCUUCGCGGUUAUCCGAUCAGCCAGAGCGUAUGGGGACUUUCUCUCUGUCACACGCCCGCGGCGCGGACCGACGCCUGUCGACCUUUAUUCAUCUUUUUCUCGGUUGACCUCGGAUCAGGUAGGGAUACCCGCUGAACUUAAGC
rnacentral:misc_RNA from 1 species